GAUGAACGCUGGCGGCGUGCUUAACACAUGCAAGUCGAGCGAGAAGUUUUGAAAAGAUUCUUCGGAUGAAAUUUAAAAUGGAAAGCGGCGGACGGGUGAGUAACGCGUAGGCAACCUGCCCCAUACAAAGGGAUAGCAUUUGGAAACGAAUAUUAAUACCUUAUGAAACUUAACUAGUGCAUGCUAGGUAGGUCAAAGAUUUAUCGGUAUGGGAUGGGCCUGCGUCUGAUUAGCUAGUUGGUGAGGUAACGGCUCACCAAGGCGACGAUCAGUAGCCGACCUGAGAGGAUGAGGAGCGAGGAGGGGAAUGAGGCACGGAGGAGACUCAUACGGGAGGGAGCAGUGGGGAAUAGUGGAAAGUGGGCGGAAGCCUGAUGUAGUCAUGCGGGGUGAGGGAUGAAGGACUUAGGGGGGGAAAGCGCUUUUGUAAGGGACGAGAAUGAAGGUACCGGAAGAAUAAGCCCCGGCUAACUUCGUG
rnacentral:rRNA from 1 species